UGUCUCGUUUUAACAGUCUUAAGUUAGAGCUGAGUCAAAGUGCGCUCUAUAAAUCUCGGGCGGUUUGUGUACAACUUGAUUGGGAGAAAAAUAUCUUACUAUGUAAUUAUAAUGUAAGUGUAAUUCGAAAGGAAAUGUAAGGGUGACAACAUUGUGAUUUGUUAAUAUAUCACGAUAAGUAUUAAAUACGUUUCCGAACCAAAUAAUUAUAUUAAAAUAAAACGAAUAAAUUGGAA